rnacentral:rRNA from 1 species
UAUAUCAGUCAUGCAUAGCAUAUCAAUAAGCGGAGGAAAAGAAACUAACAAGGAUUCCCUUAGUAACGGCGAGUGUAGCGGGAAGAGCUCAAAUUUGAAAUCUUCAAGGUUUUACCUUGACGAAUUGUAGUUUAAAGAAGUGUUUUCUGUUGAAGUUUUGGUAAAAGUUCUUUGGAAUAGGACAUCAUAGAGGGUGAGAAUCCCGUAUUUGACCAUUACUUUCAGCUUUGUGAUACACUUUCAAAGAGUCGGAUUGUUUGGGAAUGCAGUCCAAAAUGGGUGGUAAAUUUCAUCUAAAGCUAAAUAUUGGCGAGAGACCGAUAGCGAACAAGUACCGUGAGGGAAAGAUGAAAAGAACUUUGAAAAGAGAGUUAAACAGUACGUGAAAUUGUCAAAAGGGAAGCGUUUGACACCAGUGUUGUUUUCUCGAAAAUCAAUUAAAAAGAGUUGGAUUUUGUGUUGUAUUGACUUUAUCAGGCUUUCUUCACUCUUUUCCAGCUUUUUUUAAUGCACUUUUCGUUUAACAAGUCAACAUCAGUUUCUUUUGUUGUAAAAAGGUCAUUGGAAGGUGGCUUUCUCUUCGGAGAAAGUGUUUAUAGCCUUAGACUCAUGCAAUCGGAGAGACUGAGGUCUGCAGCGUAGAUCCUUCGGGGUUAGAUACAUUUGUGCUAAGUUAUAGCUUUUCAUAGACAACUUGUUGACUAUGUUUAGUCUUGUAGCUUACUCGCUUAUGCUAUUUUACCUACGCUUAGGAUGUUGAACUCUAUCACACACAG